GCAAUCGUGGCCGAGUGGUUAAUGCGAUGGACUAGAAAUCCAUUGGGGUCUCCCCGCACAGGUUCGAAUCCUGUAGACUGCG
rnacentral:tRNA from 1 species